rnacentral:misc_RNA from 1 species
GUCGUAACAAGGUAGCCGUAGGGGAACCUGCGGCUGGAUCACCUCCUUUCUAAGGAUGUUCCUAGCCAAGAUGAUCGGCAGGUCGGCAACGAUCUGAUCCGGUCCGCUCUUCGUGGAACGUCGUUGGAUAACAGGGGCCAGUCAGGCCCCAUGGGCGGGGCAGGCGCCGUCCUCGUUUCUCUUUCUCCAUCCGGAUAGCGUGAUCGGCUACGCCGUUCAUCGCGGUGCGUCGAUCAUACUGGGCCUGUAGCUCAGGUGGUUAGAGCGCACCCCUGAUAAGGGUGAGGUCGGACGUUCGAGUCGUCCCAGGCCCACCAUUGUUUCUGGCUGCCUCAAGCGCCGGCGGCGACGUCCGUCGCCUUGGC